rnacentral:rRNA from 1 species
UACGUAGGGUGCGAGCGUUGUCCGGAAUUAUUGGGCGUAAAGAGCUUGUAGGCGGUUUGUCGCGUCUGCUGUGAAAAUCCGGGGCUCAACCCCGGACUUGCAGUGGGUACGGGCAGACUAGAGUACUGCAGGGGAGACUGGAAUUCCUGGUGUAGCGGUGGAAUGCGCAGAUAUCAGGAGGAACACCGGUGGCGAAGGCGGGUCUCUGGGCAACAACUGACGCUGAGGAGCGAAAGCGUGGGGAGCGAACAGG